rnacentral:lncRNA from 1 species
GGAGGUGGUGUCAUCCAUAGGGAUGUGCUCCUGAGAGAUGGUCCCUUCCAUGGCCAUGGUCUUGGAGAACUUGGUCAUGUCGGUCCCUUCCAUGGGCAUGGCCUUGGGUGAGAUGGUCUCAUCCAUAGGCAUGGUCUUGGGCAAGUUGGUCCCUUCCAUGGGCAUGAACUUGGGUGAGAUGGUCCCUUCCAUGGACAUGGCCUUGGGUGAGGUGGUCUCAUCCAUGGGCAUGGUCUUGGUCAAGUUGGUCUCACCCAUGGGCAUGGUCUUGGUCAAGUCGGUCCCUUCCAUGGGCAUGGCCUUGGGUGAGAUGGUCCCUUCCAUGGGCAUGGUCUUGGUCAAGUUGGUCCCAUCCAUGGACAUGGCCUUGGGUGAGAUGAUCUCAUCCAUGGGCAUGGUCUCGGUCAAGUUGGUCCCUUCCAUGGGCAUGGCCUUGGGUGAGAUGGUCCCUUCCAUGGGCAUGGUCUUGGUCAAGUCGGUCCCUUCCAUGGGCAUGAACUUGGGCAAAUUGGUCCCUUCCAUGGGCAUGACCUUGGCCAAGUUGGUCUCAUCCAUGGGCAUGAACUUGGUCAAGUUGGUCCCAUCCAUGGGCAAGAUGCUCCUAUCUAUGGGCACGUGCUCCUGCGAGAUGUUCUCAUCCACGGGCACGGACAUGGGGGAGAUGUUCCCACCCAUGGACAUGGACCUGGGUGAGAUGCUCCCAUCUGUGGGCACGUGGCCACAGCGCUCGUUUGAGAUGGACACGUGCGAGAUGCUCUCGGAGGUGAAUCCCCAGCCCUGGUGCUCAUGGAAGGUGCUCUCAUCCAUGGGCACGGACAUGGGCAAGAUGUUUUUCUCCGUGGGCAUGGACGUGGGUGAGAUGGUCCCACCUAGAGACACAUGGAAGAUGCUCUUGUACGUGGAUCCGGGGCCUUGGUGCUCAUGCAAGAGGCUCCCAUCCAUGGGCAAGAAGUUGGG